rnacentral:rRNA from 1 species
UACGUAGGUGGCAAGCGUUGUCCGGAUUUACUGGGCGUAAAGGGCGUGCAGGCGGUUUGUUAAGUGCAGGGUGAAAGCUCCCGGCUCAACUGGGAGAGGUCCUUGCAUACUGGCAGACUUGAGGGAGGCAGAGGAAAGUGGAAUUCCCGGUGUAGUGGUGAUAUGCGUAGAGAUGUGGAGGAACACCGAUGGCGAAGGCAGCCUCCUGGGCCAGCACUGACGCUCAUGCACGAAAGCGUGGGGAGCAAACAGG